rnacentral:tRNA from 34 species
GGAAGUGUGGCUGAGCGGUUGAAAGCACCGGUCUUGAAAACCGGCGAGGGGCGACCCUCCCAGAGUUCGAAUCUCUGCGCUUCCGCCA